rnacentral:sRNA from 1 species
GCAAGUGAAUCGCUUAAACCCAGGAGUUGGAGGUUGCUGUGAGCUGUGAUGCCACAACACUACCCAGGGUGACAGCUUGAAGCUGUGUCUACAAAAAAAAAAUGUCACCCAGAGCCAUACUAUUUCUUUUCUUUUUCUUUUUUUCUGAGACAGAGCCUCAAGCUGUCCACCUGGGUAGAGUGCUAUGGCAUCACAGCUCACAGCAGCCUCCAGCUCUUGGGCUUAGGUGAUUCUCUUGCCUCAGCCUCCAAGUAGCUGGGACUACAGGCACCCGCCACAAUACCCGGC